AAUAAUUGUGUUUGCUCGCAAACGAAAAAAAAAACCGACUUCAAUUACAUCGACAAGUAAUACAACGUAGAUCGACGAAAACAUAGUCAAGCAACUACGCCUUAUCAAAGAUUACUCAAAAAGUAGUCAACAGAUCUCGAUAAAAUUUAUAUGUAACCACAUGAUAAACAUCAGCUUUCGAUUAAAUUAAAAAUUAUCAAAAUCGGUACACCCAGUAAAAAGUUAUUACGGAUUUUCGAGAGUUUCCCUCGAUUUCUCUGGGAUCCCAUCAUCAGAUCCUGGUUUCCUUAUCAUGGUGCCAAACUAGGGAUAUCUCCUUUCCAACAAAA
rnacentral:misc_RNA from 1 species